GGUAGUUUUUUGUCCGGAUUCUUCUUAGUGCUUUUCCCGUGCCGUGGUUCCUUGUCCGGGCGUUUCUUAGCGUUGUUCCGACGCCGCGGUUUUCUCUGGGCGUUUCUUAGUAUUAUUCCACGCCAUGGUUCUUUGGGCGUUUCUUAGUGUAGGGUAGGCGCUCAGUUACGCGCGGGGCUGAACCCAGGACUGUGGCGGGAUCGAAAAACCCGGAAGUUUGCCAGGAACCGAGAAUCUCCGCUUCACACGGGCGGGUCCUCUGUCCCAGGCCGCUGGUUCUAGGCGUCUCCGCCUUCUGCAAUGCGGCGGCUUUGGCCCCCGGCGGACCUCCGCUCGGCCCCUGCGACACUGUCACUGAUGGGAAAGAGAACGUGUGCAGUAUCCAGGGGAGAAGCCACGCUGCGCUUCGGCCGAUGUCUGCCAGAUCUUCCUUUACACUCCUUCCUCUCUUCCCACUUUCCUUCCCUCCUGCCCUUUAUUUCUUGACUGUCUUUAAGGAAAAACUGAAAUCUGUUUCUGUUUUAUUUGUUUGUUUAUUGAGACAGAGUCUCACUGUGUCGCCCUGGGUAGAGUUCUGUGACGUCACAGCUCACCGCAACCUCAAACUCUUGGACUUGAGCGAUUCUCUUGCCUCAGCCUUCCUUGCCUAGUCCCUCCUCAGCUGGAACUACAGUUGUUUUUGAGAUAGAGUACUGUGGCCUCAGCCUAGAUCACAGCAACCUCCAACUCCUGGGCUCAAGUGACCCUUCUGCCUCAGCCUCCUGAAUGCCUUGGAACACAGCAUGAGUAUAAGCCAUGAUAUGGGAAUCAUGAAGGGAACCUGAGGAGCCUGCCACGUGGACAGAGCCAGUGAGAGAACAGAUGCAGUGCCCUAGGUGCAGUCUCCACGAAUGGCCACCUUUACUGGGGUGAUGACAUAAUUUCAGCUUACCGAGGUGUGCAGAAAACAUUUUCUUUAUUUUUAUAUAACAACUUCAUAUUAUUUUGAACUUCAAUGUGCCAGGGAGACAGCAAAUGAAUCCCAGAAAUGUGGAGGUUUGUUGCCUUCCUUUUUGCCAGCUGGUGUGUAAGUCCUAGGGGCUCCCGUUGUGCCAAGGUGUGUGUGUGUGGAGGGGAGAGCAGUGGGUCCAUUGUUAUCUUUCUCCCCAGUCACAGGAGGUGUGAUGUUCCUGUGCACGUGUCUUCUCCAGGUCUGGGGCAUCUCCCCUCACCUCUGCUCACCAUCAGGGGCCCAUGGCAAUCUGUUGCUUCAGUGCCAAACAAAGACAUGGACACCCUGGAGAAGCUGCCUGUGGUGUUGCCAACCCAGACGCCCUGGACAGUAGUGUCUCUGGGAUUAUGCUGUUCCCUGGGGCACUGCCAGGAAUCAGGGCCUCCAGCCAUUCUUUCUUGGACCCUACCUCAUCACUAUUCUCUCACAUCAGUUCCUUACUUUUCUUUCUCCCUGCUUACAGGGCUUCCUUAGGGAAGCCCAGCUUCUUAAUAGAUUUAUAUUUUUGGAGACUUAUUUUAGACUGCUGCUUCCCACUUCUGUGGCUGCUUCAUUUCUCAGUUGUGCUGGUAGAUGUGACAUGCAGAAGUUGCUUAAAUGGAUGGGGAGAAAGGGGAUGGAGAAGACUAGAAGAAAAUAAGAAUGUGCCAUGGUUCCGGUUCCAGCUAUGCUGGCAUCUAUGGUCUCAGAUUAGCCUUUGUACCACAACCAAACAAAACUGGACAGAAGAUAUGAAUGAGCCACUGUUUUAUGGCAGUGGAUGGCAGACAGUGCAGGACAGCAGUCCCUGAGAGGACUCAUGAGAUGUUCUAUC